GACGAACGCUGGCGGCGUGCUUAACACAUGCAAGUCGAACGGAAAGGCCCUGCUUUUGUGGGGUGCUCGAGUGGCGAACGGGUGAGUAACACGUGAGUAACCUGCCCUUGACUUUGGGAUAACUUCAGGAAACUGGGGCUAAUACCGGGUAGGAGCUCCUGCUGCAUGGUGGGGGUUGGAAAGUUUCGGCGGUUGGGGAUGGACUCGCGGCUUAUCAGCUUGUUGGUGGGGUAGUGGCUUACCAAGGCUUUGACGGGUAGCCGGCCUGAGAGGGUGACCGGCCACAUUGGGACUGAGAUACGGCCCAGACUCCUACGGGAGGCAGCAGUGGGGAAUAGUGCACGAUGGGCGGAAGCCUGAUGCAGCAACGCCGCGUGCGGGAUGACGGCCUUCGGGUUGUAAACCGCUUUCGCCUGUGACGAAGCGUGAGUGACGGUAAUGUGUAAAGAAGCACCGGCUAACUACGUG
rnacentral:rRNA from 1 species